UACGGGGGGGGUAAGCGUUGUUCGGAAUUACUGGGCGUAAAGGGCGCGUAGGUGGCCUUCUAAGUUGAACGUGAAAUCCCUGGGCUCAACCCAGGAACUGCGUCCAAGACUGGGAGGCUUGAAUCCGGGAGAGGGAUGCGGAAUUCCAGGUGUAGCGGUGAAAUGCGUAGAUAUCUGGAGGAACACCGGUGGCGAAGGCGGCAUCCUGGACCGGUAUUGACACUGAGGCGCGAAAGCCAGGGGAGCAAACGGG
rnacentral:rRNA from 1 species